UGAUCUGUGUCGUACACUUCACCUAGUUGUCUUCAUCUAUGCACUUCACUUGCUUUGAAUGCCUAUAUUUUCUGGAGAAUCGAGUUUGUGUUAGAAUAUAGAAUAAUUAACCGAUGAAUAGUUUCUGUGAAAAACGGGCGUAAUCGUAAUGCAAUCGCAGUCGAAGUUCUCUGAAUAAGGCUUUUGAUUUCCAUUCAGAGUCAGUGUCAGUGUGGACAUUAGGUGCUGGGAAUACGAAUCGAAAUUAUAUUACGUUUUGCUCUUUCGUACAGUUUUCGAAGCAUAAUGUCAUAGCAAUAAGCUAUUGAGGGAAACUGAUGUGCAUCAAAACAGUUAUAGCAUUUUAUUAUGUUCCUGAAUGCAGCAGACAAAAUUGGCUUGUGACAUCAAUGUGUUCCUGAAAUGGUGUGUAAAGAAGAUAUAUUGACAUGGUUUCAGGACUUGGAAAGUUAUAAAAGGAUAGAUAUGUUAUGUGAACUGAUAAAUAUGUGUUUACCGUUUGAGUUGAGAUUCGUAGGCAGUUUCCUGGAAGAAACCGGGAAGCAUAGCUAUCAAGCGUUACGGCAACGAGCUUUAGCUGCAAAUGAUUACGAGAAGCUCGAGAAGGACACUAGUUUAAAGGAUCGCACUCUUUAUGAGGAAAAUAUACGGCAUUUGAUGCUGAUAAAUGUCUCUUUGCUGAAAUCGAGAAAUUACAAUGUGGCUAAUUGGUAUUCGAAAAAUUUCUUAAGGACAGACUAUAUUGAAGAACUAGUUGUGAAAGAAAAAAACGAAAUAGUGCAAAAUGAACUAUUGCUGUUGUAUACGAUGGCAACUAGACAUCCUGCGUUUAGUUUUGAUCAAAAACAGUUUUACAAUCGUAUACUAGUGCGGCUGUAUGAAUUACGGGAUAGCAGAUCUAAUAAGUCUUGUACUUACAGAUACCCCCCGGGAUUUGAGUAUCCAAGCUUUUACAGGAAUAACAAGGUUUAUGAAAACACUCAAGUACCGGUCGCAAUACCUAUGCAUCCUCCUGGACUUCCACAUCAACUAGAUAAUAUUGGUAAUCUUAGGGUAGGAUGGCAUGGUUUGACCUGCGGAGCACCUGCAGAGGUACCGCCGUUUUCAUCUCAACAUCCUCUUCAACCUCCUCAACCCACCGCGUCUCCACUAGUCAAUUCACCGAGUCAGUCGCGCUGCGGUUCACCCCGCCCUCUUACUAGGGCUCCACCGUUCCCAAUGGUAGCAUCGACUACACAGAUAGUGUCCAUACCAUCCGGAAACCACCCCAGUGUUGGGACACCGUCCGGGCUUCCAUCAACCAUAACUUCUCAAUUGCCAUCGGUUAUACCAGUGGCUUCUGUACUGCCAGGAAUGCCAAUUUCAAUAGAAUCUUUAGGUCCGCCCCCUCCAAUGGGACAUUCAGAUCAUCCCUCUCCGGUCUAUGGAAUGGUUAAAUCGAGCAACCAACUGCACGAAACCGAAGAGCUCAACCCCGUUUUAAUCGAAGAUUCGUUGCAAAAACAUCCACCUCCUCUUUCGCUGAAUCCGUGGAUGACUAACGCCAACAUUAACUCGGAGGGGAAGCAAAUUAAUGGAUUGCGGAUAGCUUCCAAUUACCCUACCUCUACGAAUAUGCGUAGUUCGAUUGCAGAUCAACUGCAUUCAAUGUCGUUGACAGACGAAAGUUCGCAUUAUCAUUCGUCCAGUAGCAGUAGUCCUCUUCAAACACCUCCUGAUACCCCUUCCAACAUAGCGCCAGCAUCUACCACAUCAACUCAGUCUAAUCGAGGGCCUAUUGAUAAAUGUCGUAUGAACGGAGUGCCAAACUUUUUAACUCCAUUUGGAGAUACGACGUCGCCGCCACCGCCACAUGGAUUUACUUAUCCUGCGUAUGCCCCAAUUGCUCAUGCAAGUGACCUUCCUUACAGGUUCUAUGCAUCUCCUAAUUUUCGACCGCCAACAACGGUAUUCAACCAGUUCCAGACUGCCACUAACCAACCUUUCCAGGGGGCUCAACCCACUGGCAGCGAAACUAUUCCUCCAUCAUACUCCUACACCAUACCUUAUAUCUCUUUAAUGUAUUCGAGUUACCCCCAUCCACCCCAGGUUCCUCAACCACCAACUAAUACGAUACCUUUGAGGAACCAACCGCCUGGGUGUUACAAUUGUGGUGCUACGGGUCAUCUGGGCCAAGAUUGUCCCGAACGGAACAUCGACGAUAUCACCCAGAAAAAUACAUAUAGCCGGUAGAAGAGCAAGAGGCUGCAUUUAGUUCUUUAGCUUAUAUAUUAUUUUUAAAGUAAUGUUUUCGGGUUAGUGCUUAGUGGUCCCGUACAGCAUUUUGACAAAAUUUACCUUAGAUUAUUACUUUGUUUAGUAGUUUGUAUUAAAAUUAAUUAUUGAAACUGGACACGCUUUUCAAAGUUGAAAUACUGGUUGGCCCUGUGCGUCUCACUAAUUAAUUCUUUUUGCUGGAAAUGAUAACCUGAAGAACUUUUCUCAAAUGUGUGCUGGUCGUGCUAUUCAAUAUACAGGGUGAUGGAACAAAUAGGGUUUAGAUGUUUUGUUUGCUAGCUCAGAACACCUCAGAAGCAAUUUCCGGAUGGGUUUAUGGUAACAAAAUGUAUUGGGUGUAAAAAGGUGAAUUAGUGCUUGGAAACACUUUUCGUGAAGAGGCAACUAAUGAUUCGAUUACUAUCUAGAAUAAUUAUAAUUAAGCACACAAAAAUAGCCAAUAUAGUUAGACUGUCGGCCAAGCUAACAUUAUUACUAUACGUAAAACAACGUGUAAAACAACGUCUGAUCGGAUAUGAACUGAACAGAUUUACUUAAUAAAUUCGAAUAAAAUUUUACAUUUGAACCGCAAAAAAUCAUAUAGUUUUAUGUAGCUAGCAAUUAAUUGAAUAAAAUCCGUAACGUGAAAUAAUUCAUUGAGAUUGCAAAAAUUACGCAAGAAGCAAGUAAGCACUGACCCUGCCGUUUAUGUACACCUUCAAAUACAGUAAAAAAAAGUUUUGUUUAGUCAUACAUUUAAAUUAGCAGUGCAAACAAAACAUGCAAAUCCGUUCGUUCAUUUUGCAAGGAAACUGAAAUCAUCACCAUAAUGAUAUCUUAUUCUCACAUUAAUCGGGCAAGUUAUUAUUUAUUGUUUCGUUAUUCAGUACAUCGAUUUUAGUCCAGUUAACUCGGAUAACGAGAAAUGAAAAAGGGAGUACAAACCCCAUAAAUAGAAGGAAUGUGCACAUAGACCAGUGUAAAUAAUACCUGAGAAGGUGAGAUAGACUGUUCGCAUAAGAUUUGAAAUUUUAUUAAUUUUAAUUGUCUAUGACCAAAUGUGGUUAAUUCAUGUGGAAGGAAGCAGGUUGGAGGGUGAGAAUAUAUGGUUUUCUCGGUUGGCUGUGAAUUCAAUUGGAUUGAAUGAUUUUCGACUACAUGCAAAAUUCAACUGUCUGGAAUAAUCAGUAUUACUUUUUCAGUUGUUCGGCUUGCAUAUAUUAAGUACGUGAAUUGGGAAUGUUAUCGAAAUGUUUCAUCACGAUACAUAUCGUAUGUUACAGUUAAAGUAAUAUUUAUGAGCUAAAGAUCUAAUUGAAGCUUCCGAUCCAAUAUAAGCAACAGAAUAAUUAUACCUACUUUGCAUUAUUGUUAAAAUAAAUACAGCUUAAAUUUUAAAUAUGACAUUUAAGACAGCCAUAUCACAUACAUGUUUUAAAGAAUUGUAAUCUUGUUUGUUGGUAUGUAUCUAUUCGUUCAUUACGCAUCUGCAAAAAUCAGUUUCUUGGGCGCAAAACAUUUCUUGUCGUUAUGUAUGCUCACAGACGAAAAUACUACUUUUGUUCACGCGAACGAAACUAUAUAUGUAUAAUAUUAAACGCUGUGAAAGUUAAAGGGCACUUUUUAAGAAAUGAUUCCUUUCCGAAUUGAUAAUAUGUACUUUAUUGUAUGUUAACCUUUUUUUGUGGUAAAUUUAAUAUAAAGGGGCGUUCAAGUCGAUUUUGACAUGUUUGUAGCCAAUCAGUUGAAUUUGUUGUGAAAACGGGGGAAAACUAAAUAAUUUUAUCCUUUCCAAUUAACUUUUUAAUCUCUUUUAUACUUAAUCAAUGUUGAUAAAAUAAAUUAUUACAUUUAUUAUAUAGUUUCUUUAACCUCGCUUAUGCUCUUAUCUGACACAAACCUUAUGGCAGUUUCGCGUUAAAGCGUAAGAAUUUUUUCUGUAAUUCGUAUCUUUUGAGAGAGCAAUAAAGGGAUUUAUUUACUUGCCACAUUUAGUCAUUUUUUAUUGCUCUUGUGGCGUAAACAGUAAAUGAACUAUAUUUAAUUUUUAAUGAGUUGCACUUUAAAUGGUUGCAAUGAUUGCUAAUGUUAUUAAUAAGUACAUAUGAACAAAAAAGAAAAUGGAAAUAACAUUUCUGAUUCAAUACUGACCGAAAAAGUCAUUGUUUUCGCCCCAAGCAUCGAGUUGGCAAUAAAAAUGGAUUUUACCACAGGCUCCCUGUACUAUAGAGUAAAAACCCUUUUUUAUUUAUUGCUGUGAUUGGGGAGCAUAAUCUGUUUUUAAUUGAUGUCCAGCUUUAAUUAGUGUCUAUUUAAUAUAUGUUUUCGAUAAUGUCGUUCAGUUUUAGUCGAUUCAAUGAACUAAUGAUUUGAAACUGAUUGGUUAGUUUUAAAUGAUGGUGAAAAUUGUUUGUCAUUAAAGAUAAUUGUAUUUGUUA